CACUCACAGGUCACAGCACACCACAGACCACACACAACCAAUACUAGCGUAUACUCAGAUUACACAGACACAGGCAUAGAGAGAGAGACCCGAGGAAGUGAGGGAGUCGCGGGGAAGAAGAAGGGAAGGAAAGGGGGGAGACCGCGCCGCCAAUGACGAUCGUCGCGCUUUACCGUCGGUCACUGCUGCUGAAUCGCCAUCAGAAACGGAACCGUGGAGAAAGGGCUUUCAAGACGCGAAGAGAGAGUCCGCGAGAAGAGGGAGGCCGCCCGCGUCCUGUCGCCGCCGCUGGAGGGAGGCCGUUCGCGUCCAGCUCGCCGCGGCUGUUGCAUCGCUGUCAUCGCACGCCGCCGUCGAGCCCGAAGCUGCCGCUAUCGCACGAAGCAGAGAGAGUGAAAGACGCGAUGGAGGGGUGAGGGAGGAGUUGCCACUGCUUCAGCUUGCGUUUUACUUACUCUGCUCUUUGGCCAUCGUCUGUCGCUGUGUUUGCUGCCAGCUUACCAUCUUCAAAGGUCAAUGCUCUGUUCGUGGCUCAUUGUAAUAGUGUAACAUUGUUAUUCAUUUUUUUGCUCUAUUCAUAAGGGUUAUUGAUCUUUGAAUUAUUCUUGAAUGAUUUGUGUUUUCAUUUUUUCAUUCAUUGAUUGUUGAUUAGCUCUUACUGCUGUUUGUGAUUAUUCAUGGUAAAUGUGCUGCUGUCUUGUUAUUCUUUGUGCUUUUGUGGCUUAAUUGUGAUUAGAUUGUGACUGUCUUGAUCAAAUUGUUGAGGAUUCUUGCCUCCAGAUUUGGGUGCUCCAAUUGAAUAUCUAUAGUUUUUGUUUUCAUGUUUUGUUGGUUUGUUUGUGAUUAUUUAAAAUUUGGAAUGCUUUGGCUGGAUUGAUAUUAUUGCUGAUUUUGAACCUGGACUUUGGCUUUGUUGUUGCAUUUUCAUUUGAAUUUCUGGAUAUGGUUGCUCUACAGCUUCAAUUUUUAUUUCACACGGCCUUCCACUAAACCAAGCUUUCAACAUAGAUUUUGGAUCUUUAGCGUAAACCUCCCUAGGAAUAUGAGAUUUCACACUUAGUUGCUUCCUUCUCUUGAAUUUACUGCUAAGAGAUUAACUUGCUAUCAUUUCAGAACAUUGUCAAGCAUGGGUUUGGAAGGUGAGCUUUUAUUCAUGAGAUUUUAUCACAAAGGAAAAGUUAUCAUAUUGUUAAGAGCUAUUUUUCAAUUGAUGUACACUUUUAUUAGAUGGUUCUUAUUCAUGAGCUUUUAUUUAAUUCUCUAAUUAUCUAUGACAUAGGAUCUAUUAAUUAUUCAAUAAUUAGUUUCCUGGUUUGAGUAUUUAAGUAUUAGAUUUUGAUAUCAUUAUGAAUAAAAUUUAUAUGUUUUGUUUUUGAAUAUCACUUGUGGCAAUGGCUUCUUAGCUUUCCGAGGCAAAAGAAAAUGUUACAUGAUCAUCACUCAUUUAAACAUCAUUAAGUGUUGUGUAAAUAUCAGAUUAACAACAAUUUUAUACUAACUAUUUUUUAUUAUCACAUUCAAUUAUCUUAUAAUAGAAGGUAUUUCACUGUUACCCUCUUUUUUUCCUCCUGCAGCUAUUCCUUGAACUACUUGAUUGUCUGCUAGAAUACUACUCCUAUGUAUUGCUUUACUGGUAGUCCUGGCUUCACUAACUUCUAUAAGGUGUGUGACACUUAUUAGAACUUCUCCAUGAGAAAUGAGAAAGGAGCUGUAUGAACAUGAUAGGGUUUCUAAUUUGUAGUUUAUAUUUUGGAGAUUUAUAAUUCUUUAUUUUUCUUGUCCUGUGUAUCUAUCUAGUUCAUUAGGGUUCUUCAAUGUAUCUUGUUAGUUUGUACUUUAAAAUUUAUAUGUUAAAGAUUUAUAAAACAAUAUUAGUUAAUGAAAGAUAUUUGAACUAUC